UACGUAGGGGGGCAAGCGUUGUCCGGAAUCAUUGGGCGUAAAGCGCGUGUAGGCGGCUGGCUAAGUCCGCAUCUGAAAGCCCGGGCUCAACCCCGGGAGGGCGGGUGGAUACUGGUCAGCUCGAGUCCGGAAGAGGAGUGUGGAAUUCCUGGUGUAGCGGUGGAAUGCGCAGAUAUCAGGAGGAACACCAAUGGCGAAGGCAGCUCGCUGGGACGGUACUGACGCUGAGGUGCGAAAGCGUGGGGGAGCGAACAGG
rnacentral:rRNA from 1 species